rnacentral:rRNA from 1 species
ACUGGUGCGCGAGAUGAGUAUUCUAAGGCGCUUGAGAGAACUCAGGAGAAGGAACUCGGCAAAUUGACACCGUAACUUCGGAAGAAGGUGUGCCCUAUUAGUGUGAAGUGAACAACGGAGCAUGAAUGGGUUGCAAAAAAUCGGUGGCUGCGACUGUUUAUUAAAAACACAGCACUCUGCAAACACGAAAGUGGACGUAUAGGGUGUGACGCCUGCCCGGUGCUGGAAGAUUAAAUGAUGGGGUGCAAGCUCUUGAUUGAAGUCCCAGUAAACGGCGGCCGUAACGAUAACGGUCCUAAGGUAGCGAAAUUCCUUGUCGGGUAAGUUCCGACCUGCACGAAUGGCGUAACGAUGGCCACACUGUCUCCUCCUGAGACUCAGCGAAGUUGAAAUGUUUGUGAUGAUGCAAUCUCCCCGCGGAAAGACGGAAAGACCCCAUGAACCUUUACUGUAGCUUUGUAUUGGACUUUGAACAGAUCUGUGUAGGAUAGGUGGGAGGCUUUGAAGCAGGGUCGCUAGAUCUUGUGGAGCCAACGUUGAAAUACCACCCUGGUGUGUUUGAGGUUCUAACCUAGGUCCAUUAUCUGGAUCGGGGACAGUGCAUGGUAGGCAGUUUGACUGGGGCGGUCUCCUCCCAAAGCGUAACGGAGGAGUUCGAAGGUACGCUAGUUACGGUCGGACAUCGUGACGAUAGUGCAAUGGCAUAAGCGUGCUUAACUGCGAGACUGACAAGUCGAGCAGAUGCGAAAGCAGGACAUAGUGGUCCGGUGGUUCUGUAUGGAAGGGCAUCGCUCAACGGAUAAAAGGUACUCUGGGGAUAACAGGCUGAUACCGCCCAAGGGUUCAUAUCGACGGCGGUGUUUGGCACCUCGAUGUCGGCUCAUCUCAUCCUGGGGCUGUAGCCGGUCCCAAGGGUAUGGCUGUUCGCCAUUUAAAGAGGUACGUGAGCUGGGUUUAAAACGUCGUGAGACAGUUUGGUCCCUAUCUUCCGUGGGCGCUGCAGAUUUGAGGAAGCCUGCUCCUAGUACGAGAGGACCGGAGUGGACACACCUCUGGUGUAUCGGUUGUCACGCCAGUGGCAUUGCCGAGUAGCUAAGUGUGGAAGAGAUAACCGCUGAAAGCAUCUAAGCGGGAAACUCGUUUCAAGAUGAGAUCUGCCGGGGCCUUGAGCCCCCUGAAGAGUCGUUCGAGACCAGGACGUUGAUAGGUCAGGUGUGGAAGCGCAGUAAUGCGUUAAGCUAACUGAUACUAAUUGCUCGUGCGGCUUGACCCC